AUUGAACGCUGGCGGCAUGCCUUACACAUGCAAGUCGAACGGCAGCGCGGACUUCGGUCUGGCGGCGAGUGGCGAACGGGUGAGUAAUACAUCGGAACGUACCCUGUUGUGGGGGAUAACUAGUCGAAAGAUUAGCUAAUACCGCAUACGACCUGAGGGUGAAAGUGGGGGACCGGAAACGGCCUCAUGCAGCAGGAGCGGCCGAUGUCUGAUUAGCUAGUUGGUGGGGUAAAGGCCCACCAAGGCGACGAUCAGUAGCUGGUCUGAGAGGACGAUCAGCCACACUGGGACUGAGACACGGCCCAGACUCCUACGGGAGGCAGCAGUGGGGAAUUUUGGACAAUGGGGGCAACCCUGAUCCAGCAAUGCCGCGUGUGUGAAGAAGGCCUUCGGGUUGUAAAGCACUUUUGUCCGGAAAGAAAUCGCGCUGGUUAAUACCUGGCGUGGAUGACGGUACCGGAAGAAUAAGCACCGGCUAACUAUGUG
rnacentral:rRNA from 1 species